GCCCCCGUAGCUCAACUGGAUAGAGCAACUCCCUUCUAAGGAGUAGGUUGUGAGUUCAAGUCUCGCCGGGGGUG
rnacentral:tRNA from 1 species